rnacentral:rRNA from 1 species
UACAGGGGGUGCAAACGUUGCUCGGAAUCAUUGGGCGUAAAGCGCACGUAGGCGGUUCGUUAUGUCGGAUGUGAAAGCCCUUGGCUUAACCGAGGAAGUGCAUCCGAAACUGGCGAGCUUGAGUACGAAAGAGGAUCGCGGAAUUCCCGGUGUAGAGGUGAAAUUCGUAGAUAUCGAGAGGAACACCGGUGGCGAAGGCGGCCAACUGGACGAAGACUGACGCUGAGACACGAAAGCGUGGGGAGCAAACAGG